rfam:Talaromyces stipitatus ATCC 10500 scf_1105507295541 genomic scaffold, whole genome shotgun sequence.
GGCAAGAUGGCCGAGCGGUCUAAGGCGUAAGUUUCCUCCAUUUGGCACGUUUCACUCCAAUCACUGUCUAACUCGCGGAUAUAGGCUGCAUUCAAGUGGUUCUUGUAGGGGCAAACCUCUAUAGGGUACACUAUGCCAGGUCUCCUGGCAUAGAAAUUCGCAGUCUCGCAAGAGGCGGGGGUUCGAAUCCCCCUCUUGUCA